GGUUAAGCGACUAAGCGUACACGGUGGAUGCCCUGGCAGUCAGAGGCGAUGAAGGACGUGCUAAUCUGCGAUAAGCGUCGGUAAGGUGAUAUGAACCGUUAUAACCGGCGAUUUCCGAAUGGGGAAACCCAGUGUGAUUCGUCACACUAUCAUUAACUGAAUCCAUAGGUUAAUGAGGCGAACCGGGGGAACUGAAACAUCUAAGUACCCCGAGGAAAAGAAAUCAACCGAGAUUCCCCCAGUAGCGGCGAGCGAACGGGGAGCAGCCCAGAGCCUGAAUCAGUGUGUGUGUUAGUGGAAGCGUCUGGAAAGGCGCGCGAUACAGGGUGACAGCCCCGUACACAAAAAUGCACAUGCUGUGAGCUCGAUGAGUAGGGCGGGACACGUGGUAUCCUGUCUGAAUAUGGGGGGACCAUCCUCCAAGGCUAAAUACUCCUGACUGACCGAUAGUGAACCAGUACCGUGAGGGAAAGGCGAAAAGAACCCCGGCGAGGGGAGUGAAAAAGAACCUGAAACCGUGUACGUACAAGCAGUGGGAGCACGCUUAGGCGUGUGACUGCGUACCUUUUGUAUAAUGGGUCAGCGACUUAUAUUCUGUAGCAAGGUUAACCGAAUAGGGGAGCCGAAGGGAAACCGAGUCUUAACUGGGCGUUAAGUUGCAGGGUAUAGACCCGAAACCCGGUGAUCUAGCCAUGGGCAGGUUGAAGGUUGGGUAACACUAACUGGAGGACCGAACCGACUAAUGUUGAAAAAUUAGCGGAUGACUUGUGGCUGGGGGUGAAAGGCCAAUCAAACCGGGAGAUAGCUGGUUCUCCCCGAAAGCUAUUUAGGUAGCGCCUCGUGAAUUCAUCUCCGGGGGUAGAGCACUGUUUCGGCAAGGGGGUCAUCCCGACUUACCAACCCGAUGCAAACUGCGAAUACCGGAGAAUGUUAUCACGGGAGACACACGGCGGGUGCUAACGUCCGUCGUGAAGAGGGAAACAACCCAGACCGCCAGCUAAGGUCCCAAAGUCAUGGUUAAGUGGGAAACGAUGUGGGAAGGCCCAGACAGCCAGGAUGUUGGCUUAGAAGCAGCCAUCAUUUAAAGAAAGCGUAAUAGCUCACUGGUCGAGUCGGCCUGCGCGGAAGAUGUAACGGGGCUAAACCAUGCACCGAAGCUGCGGCAGCGACGCUUAUGCGUUGUUGGGUAGGGGAGCGUUCUGUAAGCCUGUGAAGGUGUACUGUGAGGUAUGCUGGAGGUAUCAGAAGUGCGAAUGCUGACAUAAGUAACGAUAAAGCGGGUGAAAAGCCCGCUCGCCGGAAGACCAAGGGUUCCUGUCCAACGUUAAUCGGGGCAGGGUGAGUCGACCCCUAAGGCGAGGCCGAAAGGCGUAGUCGAUGGGAAACAGGUUAAUAUUCCUGUACUUGGUGUUACUGCGAAGGGGGGACGGAGAAGGCUAUGUUGGCCGGGCGACGGUUGUCCCGGUUUAAGCGUGUAGGCUGGUUUUCCAGGCAAAUCCGGAAAAUCAAGGCUGAGGCGUGAUGACGAGGCACUACGGUGCUGAAGCAACAAAUGCCCUGCUUCCAGGAAAAGCCUCUAAGCAUCAGGUAACAUCAAAUCGUACCCCAAACCGACACAGGUGGUCAGGUAGAGAAUACCAAGGCGCUUGAGAGAACUCGGGUGAAGGAACUAGGCAAAAUGGUGCCGUAACUUCGGGAGAAGGCACGCUGAUAUGUAGGUGAAGUCCCUCGCGGAUGGAGCUGAAAUCAGUCGAAGAUACCAGCUGGCUGCAACUGUUUAUUAAAAACACAGCACUGUGCAAACACGAAAGUGGACGUAUACGGUGUGACGCCUGCCCGGUGCCGGAAGGUUAAUUGAUGGGGUUAGCGCAAGCGAAGCUCUUGAUCGAAGCCCCGGUAAACGGCGGCCGUAACUAUAACGGUCCUAAGGUAGCGAAAUUCCUUGUCGGGUAAGUUCCGACCUGCACGAAUGGCGUAAUGAUGGCCAGGCUGUCUCCACCCGAGACUCAGUGAAAUUGAACUCGCUGUGAAGAUGCAGUGUACCCGCGGCAAGACGGAAAGACCCCGUGAACCUUUACUAUAGCUUGACACUGAACAUUGAGCCUUGAUGUGUAGGAUAGGUGGGAGGCUUUGAAGUGUGGACGCCAGUCUGCAUGGAGCCGACCUUGAAAUACCACCCUUUAAUGUUUGAUGUUCUAACGUUGACCCGUAAUCCGGGUUGCGGACAGUGUCUGGUGGGUAGUUUGACUGGGGCGGUCUCCUCCUAAAGAGUAACGGAGGAGCACGAAGGUUGGCUAAUCCUGGUCGGACAUCAGGAGGUUAGUGCAAUGGCAUAAGCCAGCUUGACUGCGAGCGUGACGGCGCGAGCAGGUGCGAAAGCAGGUCAUAGUGAUCCGGUGGUUCUGAAUGGAAGGGCCAUCGCUCAACGGAUAAAAGGUACUCCGGGGAUAACAGGCUGAUACCGCCCAAGAGUUCAUAUCGACGGCGGUGUUUGGCACCUCGAUGUCGGCUCAUCACAUCCUGGGGCUGAAGUAGGUCCCAAGGGUAUGGCUGUUCGCCAUUUAAAGUGGUACGCGAGCUGGGUUUAGAACGUCGUGAGACAGUUCGGUCCCUAUCUGCCGUGGGCGCUGGAGAACUGAGGGGGGCUGCUCCUAGUACGAGAGGACCGGAGUGGACGCAUCACUGGUGUUCGGGUUGUCAUGCCAAUGGCACUGCCCGGUAGCUAAAUGCGGAAGAGAUAAGUGCUGAAAGCAUCUAAGCACGAAACUUGCCCCGAGAUGAGUUCUCCCUGACCCUUUAAGGGUCCUGAAGGAACGUUGAAGACGACGACGUUGAUAGGCCGGGUGUGUAAGCGCAGCGAUGCGUUGAGCUAACCGGUACUAAUGAACCGUGAGGCUUAACCUU
rnacentral:rRNA from 1 species